UACAGAGGGGGCGAGCGUUAUUCGGAAUUAUUGGGCGUAAAGGGCGCGUAGGCGGCUUUUCAAGUGACGGGUGAAAUCCCUCGGCUUAACCGAGGAACUGCCUGUCAGACUGGAAGGCUUGAGACCGGGAGAGGUGAGUGGAAUUCCCAGUGUAGCGGUGAAAUGCGUAGAUAUUGGGAGGAACACCAACGGCGAAAGCACUCUGCUGGGCCGACACUGACACUGAGAGACGAAAGCUAGGGGAGCGAAUGGG
rnacentral:rRNA from 1 species